GUCAAACUAGUUGUUGCACUGCAAUAAGAUUGUAGAAUGGGCUAAUUUUAAGUGUUCACAAUAUUGGAUAAUAUUAUGGGUCAUAUAAUUUUCCAGGUAACCAUGUUAAUUUUAGCAAUAUUUCUAACACAUUCUGGCCUUCUUUCAGCAGCUGUGUACAAUGUAAAAUUCAUUGUACACAGCUGCUGACAUUUAGUUUAGCAGACGCACAUCAGAAAGUAUGUGUUCUAGAUGUAACACAUACUUUCUGAUGCACCUACCAGCUGAAACCCCACACUUCCAUCCCCAUUAAUUUUAUUUUAAUUACCCUGUGUUUUCUGUAGUGUUACGUUUCCUUUGUAUUGAAAGCAGUCACAAUUGUCAUGUUUCCUAUGUAGUGUUAAGUUUCCUUUGUAUUGAAAGCAGUCACAAUUGUCAUGUUUCCUAUGUAGUGUUAAGUUUCCUUUGUAUUGAAAUCAGACACAAUUGUAAUGUUCCCUAUGUAGUGUUAAGUUUCCUUUGUAUUGAAAGCAGUCACAAUUGUCAUGUUUCCUAUGUAGUGUUAAGUUUCCUUUGUAUUGAAAUCAGACACAAUUGUAAUGUUCCCUAUGUAGUGUUAAGUUUCCUUUGUAUUGAAAGCAGACACAAUUGUAAUGUUCCCUAUGUAGUGUUAAGUUUCCUUUGUAUUGAAAGCAGACACAAUUGUAAUGUUCCCUAUGUAGUGUUAAGUUUCCUUUGUAUUGAAAGCAGACACAAUUGUCAUGUUUCCUAUGUAGUGUUAAGUUUCCUUUGUAAUGGACAGAAGACACAGUCCUCCUGUGUCCUCUAUAGUGUUACGUUUCCUUUCCGAUGGACAAGAGACAAAGUUCUCAUGUGUCUUUGUAGUGUUAAGUUUCCUUUCUGAUGGACAGGAGACACAGUCCUCCCUUGUCCUCUGUAAAGACACCUUCCAGUCUUGGCCUCACCUCCUUCUGCACUGUGAGGAUCAGCUCACAGCAUCUAAGACAUGCCAAAGACUGCAGCACCAACUGAACUGUCAAUCAACCGAGGACCCAUCACAGUUAGACCCCAUAGGGACACAUUUGACUUCCUGCCUGUCCCCGUCAUUCUUCAAAGCAAAGGACGAGAAAACACCUGCCUGUCUUUGCCUCACUUCCUGUCUGGCUCUGAGAUUCGGGAUCAGCUCAUACCGACCAGGACAUCCUGCCACCACUGCAGCAGCAGAGCAGAUGUUGAAGCACCGUGUUAACUGUUCAUCAUCAGUGGACACUUGCUGGACCACGGAGAGACGUGUUCUCCCUGCCAGUGUUGAGGUUUCUUCACAAAAGAUAAUAAGGUCUUCCUCCUCUGUGAUUCCUCCACUUCACAGUGAAGACACUCAGGACUGCAGAGAGGGCUGAACACAUAAAAGAAGCUGAACAUCAUGCAGCGUAUUCAGUUUCACUGGACUACAUGUUGAUCUGCUCUGCACUGCUCUCAGAGUUCAAGGAUCAGGUGUGUGACUGCAAGGAAGAGUCAUCAGUCAGUCAUCACUGUCCGAGUGACAGCCCCACCUUUAUGCAGCUUCAAGCUCCUCCCUAAACCAGCUGUAAAGGCCUCUCCUCCUCCAUGUAGCUAUAGUAACACUAUCCUGACGUGAUGACUGGAGCAGUGGAUCUACAGCCGCUGCACAGGUCAAAGGUCAUAAUGUUACAGGUCUUCAAAGCAUACACUACUAACUCAUGAACAGUAUUACUACAGGACACCUGUCUAUUUUGUUUGUUUCAUCUCUACCGUAUUUGAUCUAACAAUAUACGUUUUCCUUGUGUUUCAUCGCAUUUUUUUUUGUUGAUUGUAUUUAUUUAUUUAUUAUUUUUUUAUUUGUCAUCCGUCCCUUUUCAGUCAGAUUUAUGAGAAAAUUAAGGAUGAAAAUGUUUGUUUGAUUGCCUCGUGCAUAUGAACAAAUUAACCUUGAAGAAAUUACAUAUUUGUAUCACAAUGAGUCAUUAGUAUGGGGUUUCAGCUGGUAGGUAUAUUCAAGGUUUUUCACAUGUGUACACCGAUCCUUAGGAUAACCUAAACUCUACUGAGACUGCCCAGUGUUAAAUUGUAAGAAUGUGAAAUCCAUCAAGUGUGUCAUCUUCAGAUGGCUAAAACAUGACUUGGUGCAAAGAGCCUUGUCAAAAGAUUUAAUAGGAAAACAAAUCCUACAAAGCUUGGGUCCUAACCUUGAGUCAACAAGUGACUCUAACCUCUAAUGUUCCAUCAAAGUAAGGAGAACCCAGUGUGUCUGUGAGCCUCAGUAAACUGAGCUUAACGCUGGGAUAGUCUAAACGACAAUGUUGACAAGACUUAUCUGUCCAGGGCUCCUGGACCUUGAAGUCUUGAACUGAGUAUUAACCUAAGUCUGGAAACGAUGUGAAAAACCUUUGAUUGUAGGAAAUGAACCACAUUGUUAACUAUUGAAACUAUAGUACAUUUAUUCAUGAAUAACACAGAGACCAAUGUUCACAAAACUGUGUUGAUACAUUUCUCACUCUAAGAUGUUAUCUUUCACGAAAUACUCACUCACAAAAUAAUUAUGACCAAUACAACAGUACUUGUGCACUGUACUCAUCUAUAUUAUUUCUUUAUAUUUCGAUAGAAGAUAAUGAGUCAAAAAAGAAUGUAAAGACGGGAUCUUCUUUUGUGUUGUAUUUCAACUCUUAGCUUUGUUAAAUGCUGCACUUCAUCUUCCACACUGCCAAUUUUGAAAUUAAAAUAUUAUGUUUUCCUGCUGUGCUGGUCUUCACUUUUUGGCAUUAACACUUAUUCAGCAAAGCCAUUGGAAAUUUCAAUAUUUUCAGAAAUUGAACUUAAUUUCAUCUUUGAGCUUGCUGGUAAAUUGUCAUUUUUAUAUCAUGAGCAUUUUUUUUUAAAUUCAUUUCAGUUUUUCGGCUUGUUGGUACAUUUUCGGAUUUCUGUAUUUUCAGCCGUUUUUGAAAUUCAUUUUAGCUAUUUUUUGCAAGAUUUCACAUUUAUUUCAGCUGUUUUCAUUUCUGCUUUUUCAGCAAAUCUAUUGAAAUUCCUUUCAGCUUCUCCCAUUUCUGUAUUUUCAGCAAUUUCAAAUUGAUUUCAGC
ensembl:lncRNA